rnacentral:rRNA from 1 species
GAGCAGCAUUGGGAAUUUGACAUGGCGCAGCCUGACCAGCCAUGCGCUGCAGAGACUGCCCUAUGAUGUAACUGCUUUAUCGGGAUAACUAUUACGUGUAGUAGCUGAUGUACCAGAAGAUAAGAUCGCUACUCCGUGCCAGCAGCCGCGUAAUACGAGGAUCAGCGUUAUCCGGAUUUAUUGGGUUUAAAGGGUGCGUAGCGCCUGUAAGUCAGAGGUGAAAGACGUAGCUCACUAUCGCAGUGCCUUUGAUACUGAUGGGCUUGAAUGAACUAGAGGUAGGCGGAAUGAGACAAGUAGCGGUGAAAUGCAUAGAUAUGUCUCAGAACACCGAUUGCGAAGGCAGCUUACUAUGGUUUUAUUGACGCUGAGGCACGAAAGCGUGGGGAUCAAACAGGAUUAGAUACCCUGGUAGUCCACGCCCUAAACGAUGAAUACUCGCUGUUAGCGAUAUACAGUUAGCGGCUAAGCGAAAGCGUUAAGUAUUCCACCUGGGGAGUACGCUCGCAAGAGUGAAACUCAAAGGAAUUGACGGGGGCCCGCACAAGCGGAGGAGCAUGUGGUUUAAUUCGAUGAUACGCGAGGAACCUUACCCGGGCUUGAAAGUUAGUGAAUUAUUCAGAGAUGAAUAAGUGAGCAAUCACACGAAACUAGGUGCUGCAUGGCUGUCGUCAGCUCGUGCCGUGAGGUGUUGGAUUAAGUCCCGCAACGAGCGCAACCCCUAUGUUUAGUUGCCAGCAUGUAAUGAUGGGGACUCUAAACAGACUGCCUGUGCAAACAGAGAGGAAGGAGGGGACGACGUCAAGUCAUCAUGGCCCUUACGUCCGGGGCUACACACGUGCUACAAUGGAUGGUACAGAGGGCAGCUAGCUAGCAAUAGUAUGCGAAUCUCAUAAAGCCAUUCACAGUUCGGAUUGGGGUCUGCAACUCGACCCCAUGAAGUUGGAUUCGCUAGUAAUCGCGUAUCAGCAAUGACGCGGUGAAUACGUUCCCGGGCCUUGUACACACCGCCCGUCAAGCCAUGGAAGUUGGGGGUACCUAAAGUAUGUAACCGUAAGGAGCGUCCUAGGUAAAUCCGAACGUCA